AACAGGAUUAGAUACCCUGGUAGUCCUUGCUGUAAACGAUGCACACUUGAUGUGAGUGGAAUCAACCCCACUCGUGUCGUAGCUAACGCGUUAAGUGUGCCGCCUGAGGAGUACACUCGCAAGGGUGAAACUCAAAAGAAUUGACGGGGGCCCGCACAAGCAGUGGAGCAUGUGGUUUAAUUCGAUGCAACGCGAAGAACCUUACCUGGGUUUGACAUGUAUUUGACAGUAACAGAAAUGUUAUCUUCCGUAAGGACAAAUACACAGGUGCUGCAUGGCUGUCGUCAGCUCGUGCCGUGAGGUGUUGGGUUAAGUCCCGCAACGAGCGCAACCCUUAUCACUAGUUGCCAACAUUUAAGGUGGGAACUCUAGUGAGACUGCCUGGGUUAACCAGGAGGAAGGCGAGGAUGACGUCAAGUCAGCAUGGCCCUUAUGUCCAGGGCUACACACGUGCUACAAUGGCUAAUACAGAAGGUUGCUAAGCCGCAAGGCGGAGCAAAUCCCCAAAGUUAGCCCCAGUUCGGAUUGUAAUCUGCAACUCGAUUACAUGAAGUUGGAAUUGCUAGUAAUGGCGCGUCAGCUAUAGCGCCGUGAAUACGUUCCCGGGCCUUGUACACACCGCCCGUCACAUCAUGGGAGUUGGUUUCACCUUAAAUCACUGACUCAACCGCAAGGAGAGAGGUGCCCAAGGUGAGGCUGAUGACUGGGAUGAAGUCGUAACAAGGUAACC
rnacentral:rRNA from 1 species